GCAGAUGCACAAGCUCAGGCAGAUGCCCAGGCCCAAGCAGAACAAAACAGGGAAAGUUAUUCCACACAAGGUGGUAGGUCCACUGCAGGCCAUGACGACCCUAUAUCUUGGUAAGGAAGUGUCCCAGACUCAAGGCCUACUUUUACAGAUAAGCAAGAGGUCUAAAGACUUGCCUAUAGGAGACUGCCUUCCUCCAGGGCACAAUGUAGCACCUAUCUCAUACAUGUGCAGUGAGGAUUACAUGGAAGAAAACCAAAAGCCUAUACAGUGCUCAAUAUCAUGUCUAACACAGCGAGACAGCACUCAAUACGGUCACCCCAAAUAAACAGACAUUUGCAUAUCACCCUGAUCAUUUCCCAAGUUCCAUUUGCCUUUAUCCUCCCAAUUAAGUUAUGUUCUGAUUAUCAAUUGUAAACAGCAGGAACACUGAUGCUAGCAGUGGCUCUUGAGGUUAAAACUCUCAGGGGUAAUAUUUUUUUCUAACUGUGUUGUUAUUUGAAGGAGGGCUCCGUGGAGAGAUUAGAAAACAUGUCCUCCUGGAAUAAUUGUUAGAAGUGAGAGUAAUAUGAUUGUAAAUUUUUACUCUUGGAAUGACAAGUGUCUGCAACAUGCAGUAAUUUGGAUUUCAGAUCUUUACCUGUACUUUCUAAGAAUUACUCAUAUAUACAGUAUAUGUGUAUUUGGCUAGAAUGGUCUCUACAGAAGCCCAUAUAUCCUUGUUAACACAACUUUUUAAAAUGUCUCCCAAGAAUAUGGUGGCUCCUCAAAUGAAGUUGUUAAAGAAGUGAUUUCUCAUUCUAAGAUUUUGGCAAUAUAUUUAGGUUUUGUUACUUAUUACUGAGACUCACUCAUACUUGUGCUCUUAAUAAUAGUUCUGACUCCAAAGUUAAGCUAUUCCUAGAACUGUAAAUACAAUUUAAAAUGAUCAGAAAAGCAUAGGUUACUUAUUAUGAGUAUUUUUUGUUGUUGUUGUUUCUAACUGGUAGGAUAGUCACAGUUUAACACAUAUUCACAGAAUAAGCAUUAAGCAUUUAAUAUAUACCAGAAAUUUGGAUUGGAGCUCUGCUGAAAUUUUCUGACUUUCUUUCUAUGAAUACCCAUUAAUGUAUAUUUGCAAUAAAUGCAUCUGAUUUGCAUAUCAAUAGAAACUAAAAUAAUAUCAGAACUAGACUUAAUGUAAA